UACAGAGGCCUCGAGCGUUAGGCGGAAUCACUGGGCUUAAAGCGUGUGUAGGCGGACUUCUAAGUACCUUGUGAAAUCCCACGGCUCACCCGUGGAACUGCUUGGUAUACUGGUUGUCUUGAGCCUUCUAGAGGCGAGUGGAACAAAUGGUGGAGCGGUGAAAUGCGUAGAUAUCAUUUGGAACGCCAAUGGUGAAAACAGGUUGCUGGGAGUGUGCUGACGCUGAGACACGAAAGCCAGGGGAGCAAACGGG
rnacentral:rRNA from 1 species